GGGCACGCCUGGGAAGCCGGGACCCCGGGGACAGCGAGGCCCCACGGGUCCACGGGGUGAGCGAGGCCCCCGCGGCAUUACUGGGAAGCCCGGCCCCAAGGGCAACUCCGGAGGCGAUGGCCCCGCCGGCCCCCCUGGAGAGCGGGGACCCAACGGCCCGCAAGGACCCACAGGCUUUCCUGGACCGAAGGGCCCCCCGG